AUGGAGUAUAUGACAGAAUCCACCGACCGCACCCCUGGACACAUCUUGUGCUGUGAGUGUGGUGUCCCAAUUAGUCCAAAUCCUGCCAAUAUUUGUGUGGCCUGUUUGCGAAGUAAAGUAGACAUCAGCCAAGGCAUUCUGAAACAGGUCUCUGUAUCUUUCUGCAAGCAAUGUCAAAGAUAUUUCCAGCCACCUGGAACUUGGAUACAGUGUGCAUUAGAAUCCAGGGAGCUUCUUGCUUUGUGUUUGGAAAAAAUCAAAGUCCCUCUGAGUAAGGUACGGCUUGUAGAUGCAGGUUUUGUUUGGACUGAGCCCCAUUCUAAGAGACUUAAAGUUAAACUGACUAUUCAGAAAGAGGUGGUGAAUGGUGCUAUCCUUCAGCAAGUGUUUGUGGUGGAUUAUGUUGUUCAGCCUCAGAUGUGUGGAGAUUGCCACAGAGUAGAAGCUAAGGAUUUCUGGAAGGCUGUGGUUCAAGUGAGGCAAAAGACUUUGCACAAAAAAACUUUCUACUAUCUGGAACAGUUGAUUUUAAAAUAUGGAAUGCAUCAGAAUACACUUCGUAUCAAAGAGAUUCCUAAUGGUCUGGAUUUCUAUUAUUCCUCAAAACAGCAUGCUCAGAAAAUGGUAGAAUUUCUUCAGUGUACAGUUCCCUGUUAGACACAAAGCCUCACAGAGAUUGAUCUCUCAGGAUAUCCAUAGUAACACAUACAAUUACAAAAGCACUUUUUCUGUGGAAAUUGUUCCCAUAUGCAAGGAUAAUGUUGUUCGUCUGUCUCCAAAACUGGCACAAAGCCUAGGAAAUAUGAACCAGAUUUGUGUGUGUAUUUGAGUGACCAGUGCCAUUCAUCUCAUAGAUCCAAAUACCCUACAAGUUGUGGAUAUUGAUGGAAGCACUUUCUGGAGUCACCCUUUCAAUAGUUUAUGCCAUCCCAAACAGCUAAAGGAGUUUAUUGUGAUGGAAUGCAGCAUAGUCUGAGAUCCAAAAUGCAAUGCAGGUGCUGGAAUGAUAUCAAAAAGCAUACCCUCGGGGAAGUCUGGGUACAGAAAACUUCUGAAAUGAAUACAGAUAAACAGUAUUUUUGUCGUACUCAUUUGGGACAUCUUCUAAAUCCUGGAGACAUGGUGUUGGGGUUUGAUUUGGCCAACUGUAACUUAAAUGAUGAGUAUGUCAACAAAAUGAACUCCGAUAGAGUCCCAGAUGUGGUAUUAAUCAAGAAGAAUUAUGACCGUACCAAAUGUCAGCUUGUAGAAACUGGAAACUGAAAGAGCUUGCAAGAGAUAGAGAAAACAUGGAUACAGAUGAUGAAAGGCAAUACCAAGAUUUCCUUGAAGAUCUUGAAGAAGAUGAGGCAAUUAGAAAAAAUGUAAACAUUUAUAGGGAUUCAACCAUUCCUGUGGAAAGUGACAUAGAUGAUGAAGGAGCCCCUCAAAUUAGUCUGGCUGAGAUGCUUGAAGACCUCCACAUUUCCCAAGAUGCUACUGGUGAAGAAGCUGAAUCGAUGAUGACACAGUGA